UUUAUCGGAGAGUUUGAUCCUGGCUCAGGACGAACGCUGGCGGCGUGCCUAAUACAUGCAAGUCGAGCGGACUGAUGGGAGCUUGCUCCCAUCAGUCAGCGGCGGACGGGUGAGUAACACGUGGGUAACCUGCCUGUAAGACUGGGAUAACUCCGGGAAACCGGGGCUAAUACCGGAUAACUCAUUUCCUCGCAUGAGGAAAUGUUGAAAGGUGGCUUUUAGCUAUCACUUACAGAUGGACCCGCGGCGCAUUAGCUAGUUGG
rnacentral:rRNA from 2 species